rnacentral:tRNA from 1 species
GCCUGGGUAGCUCAGUCAGUUGGGCGUCUGACUUUGGCUCAGGUCAUGAUCUCAUGGUUUGUGGGUUCGAGCCCCACAUCGUGCU